rnacentral:lncRNA from 12 species
CCCCCCCCCCCCCCCCCCCCCCCCCCCCCCCCCCCCCCCCCCCCCCCCCCCCCCCCCCCCCCCCCUCCCAGGUGGGAUUUGGGGGUUCUGGUUGGGCUUAGAGAGAGAGUUGAGGGAUUUGGGGGCAUCUCUGUGGGGUUUUGGGGCAUCCCAGGAGGGUUUGGAGGAUCUAAGGUGGGAUUUGGAAGGUCUGCGUGGAUCUUGGGGCGAAUUUAUGGCAUUUUUGGAAGUCCCAGCCUCCUGCCUCUGUGGACACUGCUGACCACCAGAACCCAAACGGUGAGCGAGGAGCUGCCCUCUCCAGCCCGCUCCCACCUCCGCUCCCGCCUCUUCUCGGCAGCCGCCGGGCUUUGUUCCAGCCGCACCACCGAGGCCGAGAGCAGAGAGAACGUGUGCCUGCAGCUAAAGAAAGGACUGGGACCGAGUUAUCUGUUCUGUUUUGUUGGUAAUUUUAACAACUGCAGUUGUUUCUGCUUGUACGGUUAGAUAUAUUAGUAAAAGAGCUGUUAUUCCUACCCCCUUAUCUCUGCCUCAGAGUCCUUGAUUCAAACAAUUAUAAUACUUGGGGGGAGUGGAAUUAAGGUCUCUAUUUCAAAAGAAAACUUCUGCCUUUAUUGGCAGAUACCUGUCCUCCAAACCAGGACAUAUAGUUAUGUAAUAAUGACACCAAUAUGAAAAGACAUACUGUGGACAUAAUAAAAAGGGGUUGGUUAUACC